rnacentral:lncRNA from 10 species
UUCAUAUCCUGAUAUGAACUCUGGCUCUGCAUCUUCAUGUCAACAUAUCUGAUCCAAAUCUUUUGUGAGUUAUAUGAGUAGUUAUUAUAUCAAGAAUUCUUCCUGUAAAGAAAUAAUCCAUCCUCCACUCAGUCCACCUCUUAUAUCACACUUCAGGUCCUACAAAAUGUUCGGCAUUUUCCCAACUACAUCCACCUCCUUGGCACAUUAAAAUGAGUGUUGUACCAAAUGCCCAUCAAUGAUAGACUGGAUAAAGAAAAUGUGGCACAUAUACACCAUGG